UACGUAGGGUGCAAGCGUUAAUCGGAAUUACUGGGCGUAAAGCGUGCGCAGGCGGUUGUGCAAGACAGAUGUGAAAUCCCCGGGCUUAACCUGGGAAUUGCAUUUGUGACUGCACGGCUAGAGUGUGUCAGAGGGGGGUAGAAUUCCACGUGUAGCAGUGAAAUGCGUACAUAUGUGGAGGAAUACCGAUGGCGAAGGCAGCCCCCUGGGAUAACACUGACGCUCAUGCACGAAAGCGUGGGGAGCAAACAGG
rnacentral:rRNA from 1 species